rnacentral:rRNA from 1 species
AUGAAAGAGGCGAUCAGAAUGGUACCCGAAUCCAUUUACGAUCCCGAGUUUCCAGACACAUCGCACUUCCGCUCGGGUCGAGGCUGCCACUCGGCCCUCAGACGGAUCAAAGAAGAGUGGGGAACCUCUCGCUGGUUUUUGGAAUUCGACAUCAGGAAGUGUUUUCACACCAUCGACCGACAUCGAUUCAUCUCAAUCUUGAAGGAAGAGAUCGACGAUUCCAAGUUCUUUUACCCCACUCAGAAAAAGUUUUCCACCGGACGACUCGUAGGGGGUGAGAAGGGCCCUGACUCCAUCCCAAACAGUGUACUACUACCGGCCCUACCAGGAAAUAUCUACCUACACAAGCUCGAUCAGGAGAUAGGGAGGAUCCGGCAGAAUCACGAAAUUCCUCUUGUAGUGAAAAUAAGAUCGGUUCUAUUAAGAAUAGGUCGUCGUAUUGAUGACCAAGAAAAGUAUGGAAAAGAAGCAAGCUUCAACGCUCCCCAAGACAACAGAGCCCUCAUAGUGGGGAGGGUAAAGAGCAUCCAACGCAAAGCGACCUUUCAUUCCCUUGUUUCAUCGUGGCACACCCCCCCCCCCACAAGCACCCCCACGCGAAGGGGAGACCAGAAAACG